rnacentral:pre_miRNA from 1 species
AGCCCGGAGAGAUCAUGGUCUAGUGCUGCGUGGAAGACUAGUGAUUUUGUUGUUCUGAUAUACUAUGACAACAAGUCAUAGCUUCCCCACAGCGCAGACGCC